rnacentral:rRNA from 1 species
ACCCGCGUACAUGCCACCGGGGCAUCCCGGAGGCAGAAAAGGUUUCGGCCGGACAGGGAUGGGCAUGCGGCGCAUUAGGCAGUAGGCGGGGUAACGGCCCACCUAACCGACGAUGCGUAGGGGUUCUGAGAGGAAGGUCCCCCACACUGGUACUGAGACACGGACCAGACUCCUACGGGAGGCAGCAGUGAGGAAUAUUGGUCAAUGGUCGGGAGACUGAACCAGCCAAGCCGCGUGAGGGAUGAAGGUACAGAGUAUCGUAAACCUCUUUUGUCAGGGAACAAAGGCGGGGACGUGUCCCCGGAUGAGUGUACCUGAAGAAAAAGCAUCGGCUAACUCCGUGCCAGCAGCCGCGGUAAUACGGAGGAUGCGAGCGUUAUCCGGAUUUAUUGGGUUUAAAGGGUGCGCAGGCGGUCUGUUAAGUCAGCGGUCAAAGCCCGGGGCUCAACCCCGGCCCGCCGUUGAAACUGGCAGUCUCGAGUUGGAGAGAAGUAUGCGGAAUGCGCGGUGUAGCGGUGAAAUGCAUAGAUAUCGCGCAGAACUCCGAUUGCGAAGGCAGCAUGCCGGCUCCACACUGACGCUGAGGCACGAAAGCGUGGGUAUCGAACAGGAUUAGAUACCCUGGUAGUCCACGCAGUAAACGAC